UAAUUAGGCAUGCAGUCGAGCGAUGGGCCCUCCCUCGGGAGGGAGACCGAGCGGCGAAAGGGUGAGUAAUAUAUAGGCAACUUACCCCCGGGACGGGGAUAGCGUCGGGAAACCGGCGGUAAUACCCGAUGGCACAUGUUUUUCGCAUGGGUGGCAUGUUAAAGGGUGGGGAUCCUUCGGGACCUUCCGCCCGGGGAGAGGCCUAUAUCCUAUUAGCUUGUUGGUGGGGUAACGGCCCACCAAGGCUGUGAUGGGUAGCCGGACUGAGAGGUUGGCCGGUCACACUGGGACUGAGACACUGCCCAGACUUCUACGGAAGGCUGCAGUCGAGAAUCAUUCGCAAUGGGCGCAAGCCUGACGAUGCGACGCCGCGUGGAUGAUGAAGGCCCUCGGGUUGUAAAGUCCUGUCAGGUGUUAAGAAAUGCGGUGGGGGAAAUAUUCCCACCGUUUGACGAAGGCACCAGAGGAAGCCACGGCUAACUUCGUGCCAGCAGCCGCGGUAACACGAAGGUGGCAAGCGUUGUUCGGAAUUAUUGGGCAUAAAGGGCACGUAGGCGGGAUGGUAAGUCGGUAGUGAAAGCCCUCGGCUCAACCGAGGAAUUGCUUCCGAUACUGCCUUCCUCGAGUACAGGAGGGGGAGAGUGGAACUCUUGGUGGAGCGGUGAAAUGCGUUGAUAUCAAGGGGAACGCCGGCGGCGAAAGCGACUCUCUGGCCUGUUACUGACGCUGAGGUGCGAAAGCCAGGUGAGCAACGGGAUUAGAUACCCCGGUAGUCCUGGCCGUAACGAUGGGCACUAAGUAGAGGGGUUUAAU
rnacentral:rRNA from 1 species